rnacentral:tRNA from 1 species
GAUUCACUAGCUCAGCUGGUAGAGCACAUCCCUUUUAAGGAUGGGGUCCUGGGUUCGAGCCCCAGGUGAAUCA